CAACAGGGAUUGCCCCAGUAACGGCGAGUGAAGCGGCAACAGCUCAAAUUUGAAAUCUGGCCCCUAGGGUCCGAGUUGUAAUUUGCAGAGGAUGCUUUUGACAAGGUGCCUUCCGAGUUCCCUGGAACGGGACGCCAUAGAGGGUGAGAGCCCCGUCUGGUCGGAUACCGCGUCUCUGUAAAGCUCCUUCGACGAGUCGAGUAGUUUGGGAAUGCUGCUCAAAAUGGGAGGUAUAUGUCUUCUAAAGCUAAAUAUUGGCCAGAGACCGAUAGCGCACAAGUAGAGUGAUCGAAAGAUGAAAAGCACUUUGAAAAGAGGGUUAAAAAGUACGUGAAAUUGUUGAAAGGGAAGCGCCUAUGACCAGACUUGGGCCCGGUGAAUCAUCCAGCGUUCUCGCUGGUGCACUUUGCCGGGCACAGGCCAGCAUCAGUUUGGCUUGGGGGAAAAAGGCUUUGGGAACGUAGCUCCUCGGAGUGUUAUAGACCAUUGCAUAAUACCCUGGGCCGGACUGAGGUUCGCGCAUCUGCAAGGAUGCUGGCGUAAUGGUCAUCAGCGACCCGUCUUGAAACACGGACCAAGGAGUCGUCUUCGUAUGCGAGUGUUCGGGUGUAAAACCCCUACGCGUAAUGAAAGUGAACGCAGGUGAGAGCUUCGGCGCAUCAUCGACCGAUCCUGAUGUUCUCGGAUGGAUUUGAGUAAGAGCAUACGGGGCCGGACCCGAAAGAAGGUGAACUAUGCCUGUAUAGGGUGAAGCCAGAGGAAACUCUGGUGGAGGCUCGCAGCGGUUCUGACGUGCGAAUCGAUCGUCAAAUAUGGGCAUGGGGG
rnacentral:rRNA from 2 species